rnacentral:rRNA from 1 species
GACCAGACUCCUACGGGAGGCAGCAGUGGGGGAUAUUGCACAAUGGGGGGAACCCUGAUGCAGCGACGCCGCGUGGGUGAAGGAGCGUUUCGGCGCGUAAAGCCCUAUCGGCAGGGAAGAAGGAGGACGGGACCUGACUAAGAAGCCCCGGCUAACUACGUGCCAGCAGCCGCGGGAAUACGUAGGGGGCAAGCGUUAUCCGGAUUCACUGGGUGUAAAGGGAGCGUAGACGGCGACGCAAGUCUGGAGUGAAAGCCCGGGGCCCAACCCCGGGACUGCUCUGGAAACUGCGGCGCUGGAGUACGGGAGGGGCAGGCGGAAUUCCUGGUGUAGCGGUGAAAUGCGUAGAUAUCAGGAGGAACACCGGCGGCGAAGGCGGCCUGCUGGACCGUGACUGACGUUGAGGCUCGAGAGCGUGGGGAGCAAACAGGAUUAGAUACCCGCGUA